rnacentral:rRNA from 1 species
UCUUGGUCAUUUAGAGGAAGUAAAAGUCGUAACAAGGUUUCCGUAGGUGAACCUGCGGAAGGAUCAUUAUUGAAAUUACCGGCGAGGGUUGUAGCUGGCCUUUCGGGGCAUGUGCACACCCGAGCCUUUAAUCCAACAUACACCUGUGAACCCAAUGUAAGGGCCCGUAAAAAGGCCCCUACGUCUUUAUCACCAACUCUGUAUUCAUAGAAUGUAAUCCAUAUCUUCGCCUUAACAAGCGUUGGUAAAACUUAUACAACUUUCAACAACGGAUCUCUUGGCUCUCGCAUCGAUGAAGAACGCAGCGAAAUGCGAUAAGUAAUGUGAAUUGCAGAUUUUCAGUGAAUCAUCGAAUCUUUGAACGCACCUUGCGCCCCUUGGUAUUCCGAGGGGCAUGCCUGUUUGAGUGUCAUUAAAUUCUCAACUCCGAUUUGAUUUGUUUCUUAUCGGAGGUUGGACUUUGGAGCGUGCUGGCGUAAGGUCGGCUCCUCUUAAAUGUAUCAGCGGAAUCUAACCUUUGGAUUCUGGACAUCGGUGUGAUAAUAAAAGUUGCGCCGUCGUUCUACUUCAAAGUCCGCUUACAAUGGUCUUUGGACAAACUCUUAUCAAAUUUGACCUCAAAUCAGGUAGGACUACCCGCUGAACUUAAGCAUAUCAAUAAGCGGAGGAAAAGAAACUAACAAGGAUUCCCCUAGUAACUGCNNUAAGCGGGAAAAGCUCAAAUUUAAAAUCUGGCGGUCUCCGGCCGUCCGAGU